rnacentral:rRNA from 1 species
UCCUACGGGAGGCAGCAGUGGGGAAUAUUGCACAAUGGGCGAAAGCCUGAUGCAGCGACGCCGCGUGAGGGAUGACUGCCUUCGGGUUGUAAACCUCUUUCAGCAGGGACGAAGCGAAAGUGACGGUACCUGCAGAAGAAGCACCGGCCAACUACGUGCCAGCAGCCGCGGUAAUACGUAGGGUGCAAGCGUUGUCCGGAAUUAUUGGGCGUAAAGAGCUCGUAGGCGGUCUGUUACGUCGGCUGUGAAAACCUGGGGCUCAACCCCGGGCCUGCAGCCGAUACAGGCAGACUAGAAUUCGGUAGGGGAGACUGGAAUUCCUGGUGUAGCGGUGAAAUGCGCAGAUAUCAGGAGGAACACCGGUGGCGAAGGCGGGUCUCUGGGCCGAUAUUGACGCUGAGGAGCGAAAGCGUGGGGAGCGAACAGGAUUAGAUACCCUGGUAGUCCACGCCGUAAACGUUGGGAACUAGGUGUGGGCCACAUUCCACGUGGUCUGUGCCGCAGCUAACGCAUUAAGUUCCCCGCCUGGGGAGUACGGCCGCAAGGCUAAAACUCAAAGGAAUUGACGGGGGCCCGCACAAGCGGCGGAGCAUGUGGCUUAAUUCGAUGCAACGCGAAGAACCUUACCUGGGCUUGACAUGCAGGGAAAUCUCGUAGAGAUACGGGGUCCGUAGGGGCCUUGCACAGGUGGUGCAUGGCUGUCGUCAGCUCGUGUCGUGAGAUGUUGGGUUAAGUCCCGCAACGAGCGCAACCCUCGUUCUAUGUUGCCAGCGAGUAAUGUCGGGGACUCAUAGGAGACUGCCGGGGUCAACUCGGAGGAAGGUGGGGAUGACGUCAAGUCAUCAUGCCCCUUAUGUCCAGGGCUGCACACAUGCUACAAUGGCCGGUACAAAGGGCUGCGAUACCGCAAGGUGGAGCGAAUCCCAGAAAGCCGGUCCCGGUUCGGAUUGAAGGCUGAAACUCGCCUUCAUGAAGGCAGGGUUGCUAGUAAUCGCGGAUCA